GGACAAAUAUGGCUGUUUUGACGUUGACAAACGAAUCAGCCAUCCAUGCCUGUACCUGUGCUGCCGUAAGACCAUCGUGACACGCGGCAAUGUGGUCCUGCAGCGGCACCACAGCCUCGCCACGAGGCCCCCCACGCGUCCAUUCUUCGCUCGGUUGCUCCCCAAAUCCAACUGUACCUCUUCCGGUUCCUUUCUUCUUUCUUUUUCCCCAACUGAACAGCAGGGCCGCCGGAGCUUUUCCGGCCAAAUCCGAGUUACUCCGACCACCAAAACCAAAUCGCCGCCAUCCACACCUCCACAACCUUCCUAACUCCAUUUCCCCCCAGUUUUCCCCCUCAUGUGCGAUCUCCAUGGCCGGGGAUUGAAGGUCCCGACCAUCAGACCACCAUAGCCACCACCUCCGCCCCUCACCGUCGAUCUCCUACCUCUGGCCAUCGUUAUCGCCGUACAACCACUAAAAUCGAUCGCUGGUUCGUUAGCUAGAUGUACGACGCAUAAACGUGAAGCAUGAUGUUGGAGCUGACCAGAAGAUGGUGUUUGGUGAAUGAAUCCCGAAGAUGGAAGGACCCCUGGAGUGCAUGCCUGGAGUGGAGAUGCUCCCCAGGACAGUGCAUGCUAACUAAACUGACUCUGUGUCGAAUCCCACGCAAGCCUCGGAGCAUAACCCACUAAUUUAAAAUUAUGCAAUGUUUUAAUUAAGUAAUUAUGCAUUAAGUUCCUAGGAGUUGAAUGGAAUGAAACGAUAGAUGCAUGUUCCCUAGAUUUCUUUGGGCUGUACUAGUAUGUGUAGGUCGCUAGUCUUUCUAUGCUUAAUUAAGACCGGUAGAAGUCAAGUGAUUGCUUAUCAUAGGAUUUCUUAUUAUGGGUAAUUUAUUUAUUGAAAUUAUUUCACAUGGAAAGAUUGGGACCAGACGGGGAUGAGAAUGGUCUAUGUGAUGUUGGUAGGGAUAUAUAGCCCAGUCCGUGUCAGUUAAGGACCGUUCGUUAUUGGUUCUGUUUGAUUAAGUUUGAACCAUACUAAUCACAUGCCGAAAGUAGGAUCGAAAGUAGGAGGUAGUUGAACCUUGUAAAUUGAGUAUCUUGGUCACUGGUGUUUGAGCCGAGUAACUUAUGGUUGACCUGUCUUAGGUAUCCGUGGGGACUAGCUGUGCGGGUCGAGAGGCGGUGUUGAGGGGCGGUUCUACCAAAUACCAUUUGGUAGUGGUUGAUGGGAAUUGUUGAUGCGUGUGAUUUGACGGGGUUGCAUGCGUCGUGUGGUUAGAUUUUAAAUUGAAUCGAUUCGCCGCUCUCGGAUAAGAGAACCUUGUUCGUUGCGUCAUAUUUUAGAAAAGAAUUAAAAUGAAUGUUGUUGGCAGUUGUUAUUAACUGUUGUUGCUAUCUAAUUAAUUUUUUUUCCACUCUAAUAUAUUUCAUUAUGUUGCAGCAUAGCAAAUAGUAUUUCUUACUUAAAUUUGUGCUAAAAUGUUAAAAGUAAGGAUCCACUUUUAGUAGCGUUUUGGCAUAACAAACCCACCAGCCAACAGCCAACAGAUGUUAGGGUUAAGUCUUGCUCAACAGCCAACAUAUGUUAGGGUUAGGGUUAAGUUUUGCUGAGUAUUAGAAUACUCAAGGUUUGUUGAUAAUGUUGAUAAAUUAUUUUCAGGUUCAGAUGAUAUAGAUUUUUGCCCUGUUGUUAUAAGUAAGUUUGUCAUGAUGAGGAAGGUUGGGUUGUGGUUGGGUUGUGGUGGCAACUCUCUGAUACCUUGUUGUCGAUUGCACAUUUACGAGCUCGGUGUGUGAUUUCCAGUUUGUCCUUCGCUCGUAGCGUCGUUAGGCUUCGGUUUAUACUUGAACUUUGCUUCCGCUGUCGUUCUUUAUGAAUUUAUGUAUAUUUAGUAUUUGAACUUUAGUUUGUAACUUAUAUUUCGCACCCUAUACUGCACCUUUAAUUUAUA